rnacentral:rRNA from 1 species
UCGAGGGGCAGCGGGGGCGGAAGCUUGCUUUCGCCCGCCGGCGACCGGCGCACGGGUGAGUAACACGUAUGCAACCUGGCCGCCACAGGGGGAUAACCCGCGGAAACGCGGCCUAAUACCCCGUGACGCCACCGGAGGGCAUCCUCCGGUGGCCAAAGGAGCGAUCCGGUGGCGGAUGGGCAUGCGGCGCAUUAGCUAGACGGCGGGGUGACGGCCCACCGUGGCGACGAUGCGUAGGGGUUCUGAGAGGAAGGCCCCCCACACUGGGACUGAGACACGGCCCAGACUCCUACGGGAGGCAGCAGUGAGGAAUAUUGGUCAAUGGGCGGAAGCCUGAACCAGCCAAGUCGCGUGAGGGAUUAAGGCCCUGCGGGUCGUAAACCUCUUUUGCCGGGGAGCAGUGGUCCGGACGCGUCCGGGCCGGGAGAGUACCCGGAGAAAAAGCAUCGGCUAACUCCGUGCCAGCAGCCGCGGUAAUACGGAGGAUGCGAGCGUUAUCCGGAUUUAUUGGGUUUAAAGGGUGCGUAGGCGGGCAUUUAAGCCGGCGGUCAAAUGUCGGGGCUCAACCCCGGCCUGCCGUCGGAACUGGGUGCCUUGAGUGGGCGAGAAGUAUGCGGAAUGCGUGGUGUAGCGGUGAAAUGCAUAGAUAUCACGCAGAACCCCGAUUGCGAAGGCAGCAUACCGGCGCCCUACUGACGCUGAGGCACGAAAGUGCGGGUAUCGAACAGGAUUAGAUACCCUGGUAGUCCGCACAGUAAACGAUGGAUGCUAUCUGU